rnacentral:rRNA from 1 species
GAUGAACGCUGGCGGCGUGCUUAACACAUGCAAGUCGAACGGAAAGGCCCAAGCUUGCUUGGGUACUCGAGUGGCGAACGGGUGAGUAACACGUGGGUGAUCUGCCCUGCACUUCGGGAUAAGCCUGGGAAACUGGUCUAAUACCGGAUAGGACCACAUUUUGGCUGGUGUGGUGGAAAGUUUUUCGGUGUGGGAUGAGCUCGCGGCCUAUCAGCUUGUUGGUGGGGUAAUGGCCUACCAAGGCGUCGACGGGUAGCCGGCCUGAGAGGGUGUACGGCCACAUUGGGACUGAGAUACGGCCCAGACUCCUACGGGAGGCAGCAGUGGGGAAUAUUGCACAAUGGGCGCAAGCCUGAUGCAGCGACGCCGCGUGGGGGAUGACGGCCUUCGGGUUGUAAACUCCUUUCGCUAGGGACGAAGCGUUAUGUGACGGUACCUGGAGAAGAAGCACCGGCUAACUACGUG